GAUGAAGAACGUAGCGAAAUGCGAUAAGUAGUGUGAAUUGCAGAAUUCAGUGAAUCAUCGAAUCUUUGAACGCACAUUGCGCCCCCUGGCAUUCCGGGGGGCAUGCCUGUUCGAGCGUCAUUACAACCCUCAAGCUCUGCUUGGUAUUGGGCUCUGCUGGGACCGGCAGGCCUUAAAAUCAGUGGCGGCGCCACUCGGCUUCAAGCGUAGUAAUUCUUCUCGCUUCGGAGACCCGGGUGCGUGCUAGCCAGCAACCCCCAACUUUCUUAGGUUGACCUCGGAUCAGGUAGGGAUACCCGCUGAACUUAAGCAUAUCAAUAAGCGGAGA
rnacentral:misc_RNA from 1 species